AUAUUCAUGAUAUUCUUCAUAGUGGCGUCGUGGAUUCGGCGUAUUUUACGACGGUUCGUGGAUUCGGAUCGUGAGCUCGUGGAUUCGAGUGGGCGUCAUGGAUUCGACGUGAUCGAGGCUUCGUGGAUUCGAAGUGGUGACGUUUCGUGGAUUUGGGACGUGGCGUUCGUGGAUUCGGACGUGGGGCGUGGAUAACCCGUUGGUGUGCGCGAGAUCCGGAGAAGAUAGAAGAGAGGUUUGAGUCCGUGGAUUCGGUAAAUCACCUUGUAAUCUUUUAUUCUUAGUGGAUUGUUAUCGUAUGUUGGUCCCGUGGGUUUUUUACUCCGAGUUUGGAGUUUUCCCACGUAAAUCUCGGUGUGCUUUUUAUUUUCCGCAUUUAUUUUUAUUGCAUCGAGAUU
rnacentral:lncRNA from 1 species